rnacentral:rRNA from 1 species
UUGACUCAACGCGGGAAAUCUUACCGGGUCCGGACACACUGAGGAUUGACAGACAAAUAUGGAAAUUUUAUAUUUCUCAUAUAUAAAGAUGCUAGUUCUUUCAUGAUUAUGUGAUAGGUGGUGCAUGGCCGUUCUUAGUUCGUGGAGUGAUCUGUCUGCUUAAUUGCGUUUCAAUUUUUAUUAUGUAUACGUAUGACCCACGUUUACGCGUGCGAGUCUAGUAUGCUAUCAUUUGAAAGCAACGAACGUGACCGUAUCCUUUUAUUAUAUACGCACGCGUAUAUUUAUUCAUUAAAGGGACCGCUGUUUCUUUUUUUAAACCAGAGGAAGGUUACGGCAAUAACAGGUCUGUGAUGCC